ensembl:lncRNA
GGAAAUCCUGCACCAGGAACAACUCUGGAGCUCCUCCCCCUUCUCCAACCUGCUCAGGUGUCUGUUUGAUGUGCACCGUUCGGGUCUACCUGACAGUGUGGCAAACCAGGCCUCAAAAGCAGACCUCUUGUGGAAGGUCAAGUACUCCUUGUCGGGAUACGAUUUGAAGUAUCUGGGGGACACACAACAGGAUGCACAUGAGUUACUUGUCAAUAUGCUGUGCCAGCUGAAGGAGGAGGGCAUGAUUCUGAAGACACUCGGGAUGAACUAUACCUGCCCUGUUUCCCAGCUGGAGUUCCAACUUGUGUCGGUGCGCACAUGUACCAGCUGUGGGCGCGAGUCGUCUACCAGAGAGGACUACAACCACCUCUCAUUGGACUUCAGCCCUGAGCGCACCUUGCUGAGCAGCCUAGCACUCACUUUCAAAAGUGAAAAGGUUGAAUUCACAUGUGAGGGCUGUAAAGGCCUCCACGCCUCAAAGGUGGAGCAGUUCCACACACUGCCUCUUGUGCUGGUUCUGCAUCUGAAGAGGUUUGGAGGACCUGGGGGUUGGAGAAGCUGGAGGCUCCUAUUUUGUUUCCUUCGGAGCUGAGGCUCUCCACCCUCUGUGGGGACAUGGUGCCACACCUGCACAGUGCCAGCCCACAGGCCCUCACCAACCAGGCCCCCAGCAUCCAGGGGUCCAUCCCCCAGACCCUCGCCAGCCAAGUCUCCAGCCCACCUGGAGAGGCCAAAG